rnacentral:misc_RNA from 1 species
UAUUAUGAUUCUUAUUAAUGAAUUGCUAAAUUUUUUUUUAUAUUAAAUAAAAAGGAAUUGUAUGGAAGGUGGUUUGUGUCUAAAACACGCUUAGCCAACCUCAACUUCCCCUACUGUGCCCUAGCAGAAAGACACCCAGGACUUGGCUACACAGGCCUAAUUACUAUUACUUCCACAUUUGACUAAAUCAAUACCAUUAAGUGGAUCUCCUUGACAAAGCUAAAAGGGGCUCACACAUGCAUUUAUAGUCUGCCAAACUUUCAUUUGACUUUUUCUCAGGUCAGGUUGUAAACAACUGAGUGAGAGAUAUAUGUAUUGGAAUUUUGUGCUGCGAGAGGCAAAUUCCUCAUCUUCUUCUGUUGAGUUAUGGAAUCAAACACGUGUGGAGUUGGCUUUCUUUACCCUCUUCUCCAUCCUCUGCUCUCUUGACACAUCUACUAAUAUUACCUGGUUUCAGCACAAUGAGGACCUUGAACUUAGUUUCUUGUUUGGUAGCUUUCCCUACCAUAAUCUUGCUUUGUCUAACUGGUUCUGAAAAUGAUCGGUCAUCACUUGUUGGCAUUUCAAAUGACAAGAUGAUUAAUAUACAAUUGAAUUCAGGAUUUGAUAAAGAAUCUUGCUUGAGCAGGUACCAGUCUACCCUAUACUGCAAACCUUCCCCUUACAAGCCUUCUCAAUACCUCCUUUCCAAACUAGGCAAUUAUGAAAGUCUUCAUAAACGCUGUGGACCUUACACAGAUUCCUAUAAUAGAACACUGAAAGUGCUUGAUUCUGGCAAUAUUUCUAAUCCUACAGAGUGCAAUUACAUUGUCUGGACACCCCUUGAAGGCAUGGGGAACAGGAUUUUAAACAUGGCUUCAGCAUUUCUUUAUGCUCUCCUUACUAAUAGAGUUUUUCUUGUUGAACAUGAGGCUGACAUGGCUGAUCUCUUUUGCGAGCCAUUUCCAAA